GGCUGGCUACUGGGUAGUGUGUCAGAACACAGAGCAAAGCUCUCUUCUACUUCACUGAGAAAGAUCCCUGCCAUGGAGGCACUCCAGUCCUCUGGGAGUUUCUCAGCCAGCACUCUUAGGCCGGCUGGAGGCCUUGCUGUUCCCCAGACAGCCCUUCAGUGCCUCCCUGUCUUCUGUUUCGUCUUUCGCUCACAAAAGCCAAAGAGGGGAAGCAUCCAUUGUCUUUGUCUGCAGGUCUGUGCAAGUGUACUUGUGAUGGCUUGUUCAUUUUCAUCAACGGACUAAGAGGGCAUGUAUAGACGAGGGCCGUCCAGAUCAGAAGACACACCCACAGUCUCUGUACUAUACAGUGACUAUCCUGUCAAGGAACUCUUCGUUUGUGGCGUUUUCUUCAAGGAAGAGAAGAUGCAUGUUCUUGGAGGGACACUAAGAGAUGGCGCCACCCACUACAGCAACUGGCCCUCAGCCUGGCCUGCAUUUACUGCUUCUCUUCAGCAGGGAGAAUGAGAACAGACUUGUUGAACAAGUCCAUGUCACUGCUACAGAAAAGCGCAAUGCUGGCUGUUUUGUUGGUCUUGCUUCCGUGAGAGAAAAUUUGUUUCCUCUUCUUUAAACAAACAAGCAUGCAUGGGGUCUGAUUCUGACUUGGAAUUUUAGUACAAUGAUCAAUAGACUGACUCCUAUAUAGGAAAAGAAAAAAAAAAAAAAUAA
ensembl:antisense Gm43076 predicted gene 43076